rnacentral:rRNA from 1 species
UACGUAGGGUGCGAGCGUUGUCCGGAAUCACUGGGCGUAAAGGGCGCGUAGGUGGCGACCCAAGUCGAUGGUGAAAGCUCGCCGCUCAACGGCGAGUCGGCCACCGAUACUGGGUUGCUGGAGCACUGUAGAGGCAGAUGGAAUUCCGGGUGUAGCGGUGGAAUGCGUAGAGAUCCGGAAGAACACCGGUGGCGAAGGCGGUCUGCUGGGCAGUUGCUGACACUGAGGCGCGACAGCGUGGGGAGCAAACAGGG